rnacentral:rRNA from 1 species
GACGAACGCUGGCGGCGUGCUUAACACAUGCAAGUCGAACGGAAAGGCCCUGCUUUUGUGGGGUGCUCGAGUGGCGAACGGGUGAGUAACACGUGAGUAACCUGCCCUUGACUUUGGGAUAACUUCAGGAAACUGGGGCUAAUACCGGAUAGGAGCUCCUGCUGCAUGGUGGGGGUUGGAAAGUUUCGGCGGUUGGGGAUGGACUCGCGGCUUAUCAGCUUGUUGGUGGGGUAGUGGCUUACCAAGUCUUUGACGGGUAGCCGGCCUGAGAGGGUGACCGGCCACAUUGGGACUGAGAUACGGCCCAGACUCCUACGGGAGGCAGCAGUGGGGGAUAUUGCACAAUGGGCGGAAGCCUGAUGCAGCAACGCCGCGUGCGGGAUGACGGCCUUCGGGUUGUAAACCGCUUUCGCCUGUGACGAAGCGUGAGUGACGGUAAUGGGUAAAGAAGCACCGGCUAACUACGUG